AACGCUGGCGGCAGGCCUAACACAUGCAAGUCGAACGGUAACAGGAAGAAGCUUGCUUCUUUGCUGACGAGUGGCGGACGGGUGAGUAAUGUCUGGGAAACUGCCUGAUGGAGGGGGAUAACUACUGGAAACGGUAGCUAAUACCGCAUAACGUCGCAAGACCAAAGAGGGGGACCUUCGGGCCUCUUGCCAUCGGAUGUGCCCAGAUGGGAUUAGCUAGUAGGUGGGGUAACGGCUCACCUAGGCGACGAUCCCUAGCUGGUCUGAGAGGAUGACCAGCCACACUGGAACUGAGACACGGUCCAGACUCCUACGGGAGGCAGCAGUGGGGAAUAUUGCACAAUGGGCGCAAGCCUGAUGCAGCCAUGCCGCGUGUAUGAAGAAGGCCUUCGGGUUGUAAAGUACUUUCAGCGGGGAGGAAGGGAGUAAAGUUAAUACCUUUGCUCAUUGACGUUACCCGCAGAAGAAGCACCGGCUAACUCCGUG
rnacentral:rRNA from 1 species